CAGAGUGUAGCUAAGAUAGUAAAGCAUCUCCCUUACACUGAGAAGUCAUCUGUGCAAAUCAGAUUACCCUGA
rnacentral:tRNA from 1 species